rnacentral:rRNA from 1 species
CCUACGGGAGGCUGCAGUGGGGAAUAUUGCACAAUGGGGGAAACCCUGAUGCAGCGACGCCGCGUGAGUGAAGAAGUAAUUCGUUAUGUAAAGCUCUAUCAGCAGGGAAGAAAAUGACGGUACCUGAGUAAGAAGCCCCGGCUAACUACGUGCCAGCAGCCGCGGUAAUACGUAGGGGGCAAGCGUUAUCCGGAUUUACUGGGGGUAAAGGGAGCGUAGACGGUUAAGUAAGUCUGGAGUGAAAGGCCGGGGCCCAACCCCGGGACUGCUCUGGAAACUAUUGAACUUGAGUGCAGGAGAGGUAAGCGGAAUUCCUAGUGUAGCGGUGAAAUGCGUAGAUAUUAGGAGGAACACCAGUGGCGAAGGCGGCUUACUGGACUGUAACUGACGUUGAGGCUCGAAAGCGUGGGGAGCAAACAGGAUUAGAUACCCGAGUAGUC